rnacentral:rRNA from 1 species
AGGGUUUGAUCAUGGCUCAGGACGAACGCUGGCGGCGUGCUUAACACAUGCAAGUCGAACGGAAAGGCCCUGCUUUUGUGGGGUGCUCGAGUGGCGAACGGGUGAGUAACACGUGAGUAACCUGCCCUUGACUUUGGGAUAACUUCAGGAAACUGGGGCUAAUACCGGAUAGGAGCUCCUGCUGCAUGGUGGGGGUUGGAAAGUUUCGGCGGUUGGGGAUGGACUCGCGGCUUAUCAGCUUGUUGGUGGGGUAGUGGCUUACCAAGGCUUUGACGGGUAGCCGGCCUGAGAGGGUGACCGGCCACAUUGGGACUGAGAUACGGCCCAGACUCCUACGGGAGGCAGCAGUGGGGAAUAUUGCACAAUGGGCGGAAGCCUGAUGCAGCAACGCCGCGUGCGGGAUGACGGCCUUCGGGUUGUAAACCGCUUUCGCCUGUGACGAAGCGUGAGUGACGGUAAUGGGUAAAGAAGCACCGGCUAACUACGUGCCAGCAGCCGCGGUGAUACGUAGGGUGCGAGCGUUGUCCGGAUUUAUUGGGCGUAAAGGGCUCGUAGGUGGUUGAUCGCGUCGGAAGUGUAAUCUUGGGGCUUAACCCUGAGCGUGCUUUCGAUACGGGUUGACUUGAGGAAGGUAGGGGAGAAUGGAAUUCCUGGUGGAGCGGUGGAAUGCGCAGAUAUCAGGAGGAACACCAGUGGCGAAGGCGGUUCUCUGGGCCUUUCCUGACGCUGAGAGCGAAAGCGUGGGGAGCGAACAGGCUUAGAUACCCUGGUAGUCCACGCUGUAAACGGUGGUACUAGGUGUGGGGUCCAUUCCACGGGUUCCGUGCCGUAGCUAACGCUUUAAGUACCCCGCCUGGGGAGUACGGCCGCAAGGCUAAAACUCAAAGGAAUUGACGGGGCCCCGCACAAGCGGCGGAGCAUGCGGAUUAAUUCGAUGCAACGCGUAGAACCUUACCUGGGUUUGACAUGGAUCGGGAGUGCUCAGAGAUGGGUGUGCCUCUUUUGGGGUCGGUUCACAGGUGGUGCAUGGCUGUCGUCAGCUCGUGUCGUGAGAUGUUGGGUUAAGUCCCGCAACGAGCGCAACCCUUGUUCACUGUUGCCAGCACGUUAUGGUGGGGACUCAGUGGAGACCGCCGGGGUCAACUCGGAGGAAGGUGGGGAUGACGUCAAGUCAUCAUGCCCCUUAUGUCCAGGGCUUCACGCAUGCUACAAUGGCUGGUACAGAGAGUGGCGAGCCUGUGAGGGUGAGCGAAUCUCGGAAAGCCGGUCUCAGUUCGGAUCGGGGUCUGCAACUCGACCUCAUGAAGUCGGAGUCGCUAGUAAUCGCAGAUCAGCAACGCUGCGGUGAAUACGUUCCCGGGGCUUGUACACACCGCCCGUCAAGUCAUGAAAGUUGGUAACACCCGAAGCCGGUGGCCUAACCGUUGUGGGGGAGCCGUCGAAGGUGGGACUGGUGAUUAGGACUAAGUCGUAACAAGGUAGCCC